UGUGAACGCUGGCGGCGUGCUUAAGACAUGCAAGUCGAACGGCAGUCUUCGGACUGUAGUGGCGCACGGGUGAGUAACGCGUAACUGACCUACCCCAAAGUCGCGGAUAACGAUUCAAAAGAAUCGCUAAUACGUGAUGUGCUGUCAGAUUGUGUUCUGCCAGUAAAGAUUGAUUGCUUUGGGAUGGGGUUGCGUUCCAUCAGCUAGUUGGUGGGGUAAAGGCCCACCAAGGCGACGACGGAUAGCCGGCCUGAGAGGGUGGCCGGCCACAGGGGCACUGAGACACGGGUCCCACUCCUACGGGAGGCAGCAGUUAGGAAUCUUCCACAAUGGGCGAAAGCCUGAUGGAGCGACGCCGCGUGAGGGAUGAAGGUCUUCGGAUCGUAACCUCUGAAUCAGGGACGAAAGACACUUCGGUGGGAUGACGGUACCUGAGUAAUAGCACCGGCUAACUCCGUGCCAGCAGCCGCCGUAAGAC
rnacentral:rRNA from 1 species